rnacentral:rRNA from 1 species
UAGGGAAUCUUCCACAAUGGACGAAAGUCUGAUGGAGCAACGCCGCGUGAGUGAUGAAGGGUUUCGGCUCGUAAAACUCUGUUGUUGGAGAAGAACGGGUGUCAGAGUAACUGUUGACAUCGUGACGGUAUCCAACCAGAAGCCACGGCUAACUACGUGCCAGCAGCCGCGGUAAUACGUAGGUGGCAAGCGUUGUCCGGAUUUAUUGGGCGUAAAGCGAGCGCAGGCGGUUUUUUAGGUCUGAUGUGAAAGCCUUCGGCUUAACCGGAGAAGUGCAUCGGAAACCGGGAGACUUGAGUGCAGAAGAGGACAGUGGAACUCCAUGUGUAGCGGUGAAAUGCGUAGAUAUAUGGAGGAACACCGGUGGCGAAAGCGGCUCUCUGGUCUGUAACUGACGCUGAGGCUCGAAAGCGUGGGGAGCGAACAGGAUUAGAUACCCUUGGU